UACGAAGGGGGCUAGCGUUGUUCGGAAUUACUGGGCGUAAAGCGCGCGCAGGCGGUCUUCCAAGUCAGUGGUGAAAGCCUGGAGCUCAACUCCAGAACUGCCAUUGAAACUGUUAGACUUGAGUACGAGAGAGGUGAGUGGAAUUCCCAGUGUAGAGGUGAAAUUCGUAGAUAUUGGGAAGAACACCAGUGGCGAAGGGCGGCUCACUGGCUCGUAACUGACGCUCAGGCGCGACAGCGUGGGA
rnacentral:rRNA from 1 species